rnacentral:rRNA from 1 species
UACGGAGGGUGCAAGCGUUAUCCGGAUUCACUGGGUUUAAAGGGUGCGUAGGUGGAUUAGUAAGUCAGUGGUGAAAUCUCCGGGCUUAACCCGGAAACUGCCAUUGAUACUAUUAGUCUUGAAUACCGUGGAGGUCAGCGGAAUAUGUCAUGUAGCGGUGAAAUGCUUAGAUAUGACAUAGAACACCAAUUUGCGAAGGCAGCUGGCUACACGAGCAUUGACACUCAGGCACGAAAGCGUGGGGAUCAAACAGG